rnacentral:lncRNA from 1 species
UUUAAGAGCUCCAUUGAAAAGCCUAUAGAGCUACAACAGUACGUUCUGAUGUUGGACAAGAAGGCCUGGCUUGCAGUCUCCGCUCUUAUUCAUCCAAAAGGUGUGUAUUGGGUUGAGAUCAGGACUUUGUGCAGGCCAGUCAAGUUCGUCCACACCAAACUCGCUCAUCCAUGUCUUUAUGGCCCUUGUUUUGUGCACUGGUGCACAGUCAUGUUAGAACAGGAAGGGGCCAUCUCCAAACUGUUCACAGUUUGGAGCAUGAAAUUGUUUAAUUGUUUAAAAUGUUAUUGAAUUAUUGCAUUUCAGGAAUAACUUAUAGGUAGGGAAGUAUUGAAUGGAUUGGGCUCAGUGUAGUAUUUUGUAAUGACAAGUACAAGUUGGGUAUUUUGUCAUUCAUGCAUGCCUACUAUAUGCUCCUACAGGUACAUCUUAUAGGCUGUGUUUAUUUGUUUUAAGUUUCUAAUGUGAGUCAAUGGCUUGGCAGUAUGUUAACAGUAAGGUUUGGUUAUUUGUGAUAAACUGUCAUCAUUCUGUUUCUGUAUGGUUACAUUUACAGACUUAAAUUUGAAUGUAGACAGUGUAAAUUGAAUAAAAAAUUAUGGAUGUCUAAAUAUUUUUUUAAGUAAAGAGAUUGGUGUUUUUGAGAAUCCUAACCAUUUCAAUAUUUUCUUAAAGGUUGUAUACUAGAACUGUUGAGUAUGAAGUUAUAAUAAUGUAAGAGUAUGAAAUUGUUAAGCAGUAAUGUGGUAUGUUACAUUUAAUAGUUUUUGAUGAUUUUUCUAUGUGUUUUUAGAUGCCACGUGCAAGCAAGAGUUCCAGGGCAGCCAAGAAAAGGAUAUCUUCUCCAGAAGACCAAGGAUCCACUGUUAAGAUGCCGAGGAAGAAGAACUGGCGGAAAGGGCGUGAUCACUUGGCUGCUGCUCCAAUAUGUAGCGCCUUGUCUGAUUUUUCUCUAUCCACUGAUCCCCACUCUACCCCUUGCGAUAUCCCAUCUUCCUCUUCAUCCCCCACCCCAAGCUUCAUCUACUCUGAUUUUCCUCCUCUUCCGACCUCUCGGUCAUCUAUCUUUAGGCCCUGUGAGUCUCUUUCACAGUCUGUGCCUGUUGUGAGCUGUGAUAAUGUAUCGCAGUCUCUUUCAAGGACCAGUGGAGCAUCGUUCACACUGCCUCUGCAAUCUAUAAGGUGUGCAGCCAUUGGGGCAUACUGUUCUCACGGUGAAACUCUCAGUAACCAAGAAAAAAAAAUGGAUACAAAACUGGCAAACUUUGGUACAAAACUGGCAAACUUUGGUACAAAACUGUGCAACGCUGCAAACUUUGAAACAAAACUUGAUACAACUCUUGCAAACUUUGAAACAUACACUAUUGUAAUACCUGAAGAAAUGAAAAAUAUCAAAAGUCAUUCAACAAACUCUGUUGAAUACAUGAACAGUGGUGAGCUGUCCAACACCGUGCCUCCAAGCUGUCAUAACAGGUAUAUACAAGGAUCUUUUCAUCAAGGACAUGUGAUGUUUGAAGAUAAUGCAGGUGUACAAUGUGUGGCAAACAGUUUAACAGCAAUGUUGAUGAAUAAACUGAAAGAUGUGUGCACGUGGCAAAGUAGUGACCUUGAUAAUAUUCUUGUGAAUGGAAACAUGCUUUAUACGUCAGUAAAGAACUGCAAUCAGGGAAACCAUACUCAUCUUUUGGUAAGUGAUUUGCCAAAGUCUCAUGUGUUGCAUAAUGUUGAUUUUACAAUUAAUCUUGGACAAGCGUUUAGUGGCAUAGUAGGAGUACAUGAAUAUGAUUUAGAGUUGGCAGAUAUGGCAAUAAGCCUUUAUGAAGCACUGCAGAGAGUAUUACUAGGAGAUGACAGCUGUUUUUUGACAAUGAAUGAAAGUACUUGUGCCAUUAUUAAACACACCAGUGGUUAUGCAGUAUUUGACUCUCACUCACGCAGCUAUGAUGGCCUUGUUCAUCCAACAGGAAAAAGUCUUGUGUGUUUCUAUCAAACUUUUGAGGAUAUGUACAGUCAGCACAUUAAUAGGCUUGCAAGUUCAAUGAAUGCCCCUGGAAAACAUUUUGAGGUAACUGGAAUCAGCGUAACAAUGACAAGUGAAGACGGCAACACUACAGCACUACACAGGUCUAGUAGACGGAAACGCAAUGCCAGGAAACCACAAGUAAUGACAGAGGUGUUUGUUGAUGGGAAUAUUCAUGUUCCCGAGAGUACUUUCAUAACACAAACUGUGUGUGGUCAUGCAUUGCCAUCACAAAAUGAGAAUUUCUUGUGUGAAAACCAUAGGCCUAUCAAUGUUACUAGUGCUGAAAGACUUUUGACAACAAAAGGGAUUGAUCUAACUGUAGACAACAACAGUGAGUGUAUUGAACACAAUGUUGAACAGAGUAAGAAUGCUGAUGAUGUUGUUGUUGGUGAUGUGACACUGCCAACAUGGACGUUUUCUCCCUUAACAUUUAUCAAUCAAACUGCGUUAUGUUCACAGUUAGAUUUGCAAAAUGUAAAUGAUAACCAUGAUUCAACCACGAUUCAACAAUGCACAGUAUUAAGUUGUCCAUGUGAAUCAAAAGCUAUUAGAAAAGAUGGAAAUUGCUUCUUCCGGUCACUGGCUUUGGCAAUUUGCGGCACUGAAAGUCCUCACAUGAAAAUUCGAAAACAAGUGGUAAGACACUUAAUGAAAAAUGAGGAAACUUUUCAAAGGUUUCUGAGAAGUGAAUACACCUCUGUAGAACAUUACAUAAAGUCUUCACGAAUGAUGUAUGCAAACACGUGGGGCACUGAAUUGGAAAUUUUAAGUGCUGCAGAUCUAUUCCAUACUGACAUAUACACAUUUAAUUCUAAUCGCUGGAACAUGUACAAAAGUUUUUCAAGAACAAGUGACAAUGCCAUAUAUUUGAACCAUGUCAAUGGAAACCAUUAUGAAUUGGUAACAUGUGUAACAGAUACACAUUGUGAAAGUGGAUGUGCAUCAUUGUGCCAAGCAAAAAAAGCAAUGCUAAAGCGUAAUGUCAAUUUGAGGAAAAGGUUAACAACUGGUAGAAUCAACAUUGUCAAGAUAAAGCUGCUAAUAAGAAGCACAAAUACCAGAAUGAUAUUCAAUUUCAACAAAAUUGCAUUAUGUUGCAACAGAAAUUAUAUGCGACAGAUGAUCAAUACAGAAUAAACAAAUUGCAGUCCAGCCAAGAUCAGUACAGAACAGAUGCAGACUUUCAAACUAAAGUUAAAGAAUACAGUAAGAGGAAAUACAAAUGUGAUGCAGACUUUCAAACUAAAGUAAAGAAUACAGUAAGAGAAAUACAAUU